ACCCUGGGUAUAGAUAGAAUGCACCAGUUCUCAUCUGAUCACUGAAGGUAAGCAACGUGAAGCUUAGAUAGUACUUGGAUGGGUGACUGCUUGGGAAACGUAGGUGCUGUAAGCA
rnacentral:rRNA from 1 species